rnacentral:RNase_P_RNA from 1 species
GCGAGCUGGUGGGCGGCUGCCGGGUCGACCAGUUAAAGACUGGUCGACCUGAGGAAACUCCACCCACAUCGUGGAGGCGCGCACCCGUGAGGGUGUGGGCGAGAGCCCAAGCCACGGCACAGAAAAGACACCUCCCCCAUCGAGUACGAUGAUGCGGGAACGUUGAGGUUGAUGGAUGGAGGAUGAAACCGGCCGGGCCGCGCUGUGAAAGGGAUAAUAGGCGCCCAUGAGGUCCACGCGAGGCGCGGGUAUCCCGAUCAGAUGGAUGCCGCCUAAAACAGAAGGUGGGUUACGGCCAGCACGC